rnacentral:lncRNA from 1 species
AUCUCGUGAUCAUAUUAUGACAUCCUGCAGUUAAAUUAUGACAUCCUGCACAUAGGAUGUCAUAAGGAAAGAAGGGAUAUUUUCUUUUUUUUCUGAAAAAAUUAUGACAUCUCGUGGCCAUAUUAUAAUAUCCUACAGUCAAAUUAUGACUUCCUGUACAUAGGAUAUUAUAAAGAAGGGUGAGACAUUUUCAUCAUUAAAAAAUUCAUAAAUUUUCGAUGAUCAAAAUAUCCUUAUCUCUUUAUGACUUGUGGAAGAAAGAUUAUGACAUCAUGUGUGCAGG